rnacentral:rRNA from 1 species
GACGAACGCUGGCGGCGUGCCUAAUACAUGCAAGUAGAACGCACAGUUUAUACCGUAGCUUGCUACACCAUAGACUGUGAGUUGCGAACGGGUGAGUAACGCGUAGGUAACCUGCCUGGUAGCGGGAGAUAACUAUUGGAAACGAUAGCUAAUACCGCAUAAUAUUAAUUAUUCCAUGAUAAUUAAUUGAAAGGUGCAAUUGCACCACUACCAGAUGGACCUGCGUUGUAUUAGCUAGUAGGUGAGGUAACGGCCCACCUAGGCGACGAUACAUAGCCGACCUGGGAGGGUGGUCGGCCAAACUGGGAAUGGGACCAGGCCCAGGCUUCUUCGGGAGGGAGCAGUAGGGAAUCUUCGGCAAUGGACGAAAGUCUGACCGAGCAACGACGCGGGAGUGAAGAAGGGUUUCGGAUCGUAAAACUCUGUUGUAAGGGAAGAACGGGUGUGAGGGUGGAAAGUUCACAUUGUGACGGUACCUUAACAGAAAGGGACGGCUAACUACGUG